CAACAAACCUCGAACUGGUUCCAGAAGAGCCAUCGGAGCCUGUGCCACCUUUGGUAGUUGAUCACGAGAGACUGCAGAAAUUGCUUGAUUUGUUGGUAGAUAAAAGCAACAACCUGACAGUCGAUCAGCUUGAGAGAUUAUACUCCCUCCUCAGUCAGUGCGUCUACCGCCAUCGUAAAGACUAUGACAAAUCUCAGCUUGUGGAGGAGAUGGAAAGAACAGUCCAUAUGUUUGAGACAUUCCUAUGAACUUCUUGUGACGAGUGGUUCGUCCUCUCCAAUCUGCUCCUGACGAGCAGUCUUCUGAGCCAUCCACUUUCAGAUUGCACCAAUCAUGCGCAGAGCCUUGGUGUAAAGUGCUCGCUCACUCAUUCUCUCUCUGUUGAAUUUGGUGCUAUUGUCUCAGGUACCUGAAACCAACCAGCCUACAAGAACCAAACAAAACUUCAGAAACAUGUUGUAUUUUCCACAAAUAAAAAAUACAACCCCACAGCUUGGAGAUUUUGGUGCUACAGAAACUGCUUUCGCUCUGCCCCUUUUCUGCACUCUUGGAGAUUCUCUAGGGAGCAGACCAGCAAACCGGAGGAAACUGAAUGGGGCAGUUGUAACUGUGCUGAAUUGUUGAAAACCAUGGGCGAUCUGCUUGUUUGUUUGUUUGUUUGUUUGUUUUUUCUUCUUUUCUAUCUCUGAUCAUAUCCCACCCCCAACCUGGGUAAUGGACUAAAACCUGUUUUAGAAUUGGCUAUGGUGUAUUCUGGUGAACAGCUGAAGAAACUGGGUGAAAUUAGGUUUGGCUCUUUAGAACUGCCUUUAAUGUGCCUUUUUAUUCAUUUGAGAAGGAUGAGGCUUAAUGGAUGGGCUUAUUUGUAGCAAAUUAUUAGAAUGUUUUCUUUGGUCACAACCUUGAAAAUAAGGUUUGAUACUCAAUGUCAUUAAGAGGCAACAGUAUUCUAUAUUCAAUGCCUGUCUUGUUCUCAAAACACUCAAGAUGGUCAGUGAGCCACGCGAUGUGUAGGCUGGCAGACUUUCCUGUGGUGUGUUUCUAGUUAAGGAACACACAACACUAAAACAGCAUUUCAAACAACACACAGUCCACAAACCCACACUAUUCCAUACUGCUGACAAUGAUGACCAGAAAAUAAAUAGAUGGUGGCCAUCCUUAUGUCAGAUGCAAUUUAAUAGUUAUUUAUGUUUGAGUUACCAGAGAAAAUAGUUUUCAUGUGUAGUCAGUUGUUAUUGUUUUGUUUUAAAGCCAGGACUUGCCAAGUGGACAGAAAAAGAGAAGAAUUUGUCAGAAACUCUGUAAAACUCAUUUUCUGUAGAGUUGCAAGUGAGCUCUGGUGUGUCCUUGAAUAACAGUGUUAACAUUAAAUCCUGUCCCAUGCUCACACAUCCCUGUCACAGCCACACAACGAUACAGUUUGGUUGGAGUCGUUUUGGAUCUUGUUGAGUGAUUUCUGUGGAUUGUACUUAUCUGAAAAUAAUUAUGGGUUACUAAUUUUACAAAACUUUCUAAAAAUUUGGAAACACAGUCUAGGCAGUUGCAAAGAGGCAAAGGGAAUGCAGUGACAUUUUUUAUGAGAUAAUUUUUAAACAAAAUACAGGAAAUUUUGCAGACAGUUGGCUUGCUAUAUUUCUUUAUUUAUAGGCGUUAGUUGCAGGUGUGUCUUUCCAAUAUAUGCAACACAUAUCUGGGUUUCAAUUACAGCACAUGGUUGAGGACUACUGCAGAGGUGCUGAGCUCCGUCAGCUUCCUGUCUUUAGUCACCAGCAGUGUUCACUGGGCUCUAAUCACGCUGCCACCGUUUACAUGCUGGAGCUAAGGUGUGUGUCUGCCUAGCUCUGACUGUGGCAUGCAGGCAGCUGCUGACCUUACCAUUGCAGUAAUCCUAGUGCUUCUUUGCAUUGACCUUUGAGGCCACCAUCUUCUAGCUUCUUUCUUCUUCUUUUUUUUAAAUGGUCCUUUUUUCUUUAUCCCUAGUCUGAGGUUUUCAUGACAUUUAGUUAGUCAUGUAACUCAAGAUGCUACCAUGUAGACACACUGUAUUUUUAAGGCAGACAAGUGUGAUUAACGAUGAACCAUUUUAAAGGGGAGGUGAUUUGAGACCUCUAAUUUGAUUACCGGGAAGAUUUCCAUGCUUUCUUUCGUAUUUAUUACCAUCAUACCAGUGCAGACUAUUUUACUGUCUAAUACAUUAGCAUUUUGUAUUUUGAUGGAAAUUGUUACAGAAUUUAAAGAUUUGAUGAAAUAAGAUGUAGCAGAUUUUUUGUAGCGAGUUUCUGGUAAAAGGGUUUUUGCAAGUCUCAGGUUCUUGCUGCUCUGUCUCUUUUUAGUAUUUAUUCCAGUUUCUCUACUUCAGAAGCACUCGUGAAAGGGGGAAGUCCGCACAUGUUCUCAGUAGGUUUCCGAAUCCUGCACGUGAAUUAAGGUUUUAGCCAGCAGUGAGUUUUACAAGGGGAAUCCAUUUAUGUACGACAUUAAAAAAUGCUUUCAAAAGAUCACGUCCUAAUUUAUGUUUACCCUUGAUGUAGAUGGAGAAAUCAGAAGUAAACUCAGUAUAGGAACUGCCACUUUGAACAGUUAUGGUCUCAAAGACGAAGCCAGUCUCAUGCCAAGGGGGGAGAAAUGAGCUGAAAUGGCACCAACUCUUCAGGCCCCUUCCCCCAAAGAGAAGCCUACUGUCCCGUUGUGUUUGUUCCACAGACAUCUGGUGGUUCUACAGAUUACAGCAGCUUGUGAAAUUAUCCAAGUCGACUCAGUUUUGUUUACCUUUCUGUAAAGUUCUUAAUUUUUGCUGUAUAGCAUUGGCAAAAAUAAUGUACAAAUUGACCUCUGUUCUUACUUCCUAUGUGAGCAUUAAUACCAAUAAGCUCCUGUGUAAAACCUUGCUCUCAGAUCAAUAAAUUAUGUAUCUCAGCCCAGCCAAGCAACAGCUCUGCUCAGCUGUGGGACCCUGGGAGCUUCUUGAAGAUGACGGAACUUCAUUAGGUUUGAAACUGAUGGCUGUGGAAUAAAUUGUGUUUUUGAGCUUGAAUCUUACCUGUGAUUUUUUAACAUCCUUUCAUGACUUGAUUUUUCUUGUAUGCCAAUGUAUUUGUAGGUUUACUGGGUUUUAUUUUUAGGGAGUGGGGUGGUAAUCUCUUCUCUGUUUUGAUUAAGUUGGUUCAGCUAUGGUGCUAAUCAAUAGGUAUUU
rnacentral:lncRNA from 1 species